rnacentral:rRNA from 1 species
UACGGGGGGGGCAAGCGUUGUUCGGAAUUACUGGGCGUAAAGGGCGCGUAGGCGGCCUGCUAAGUCGGACGUGAAAUCCCUCGGCUCAACCGGGGAACUGCGUCCGAUACUGGCGAGGCUUGAGUCCGGGAGAGGGAUGUGGAAUUCCAGGUGUAGCGGUGAAAUGCGCAGAUAUCAGGAGGAACACCCGUGGCGAAAGCGGCUCUCUGGGACGGUACUGACGCUGAGACGCGAAAGCGUGGGGAGCAAACAGG